rnacentral:rRNA from 1 species
UACGUAGGGGGCAAGCGUUGUCCGGAUUUAUUGGGCGUAAAGAGCGUGUAGGCGGCCAGACAGGUCAGCUGUGAAAACUCGAGGCUCAACCUCGAGAGGUCGGUGGAAACCGUCUGGCUAGAGUCCGGAAGAGGAGAGUGGAAUUCCCGGUGUAGCGGUGAAAUGCGCAGAUAUCGGGAAGAACACCCGUGGCGAAGGCGGCUCUCUGGGACGGUACUGACGCUGAGACGCGAAAGCGUGGGGAGCGAACAGG